UCUUGGUAUAAAAACAAUCAUGCGCUACACAUUGUCGUCAAUAACCAUCACCAAACACCCAGGCACUGAACUCCGUGUGGUCGGCAGGAGGGGCAGGCGGGCAGGCGGGCAAGACAGACGGCAGACGGGCGGGGCAGGCGGGCAGGCUGCGGGCCACAGGGACACACACAGAGGCCACCAGGAGGACGCAGCACUUGGCAACACACUCGAGAUUUGUUUUCGUUUUGGCUUUUUUGUGUUUUGAUUUUUUUUCC
rnacentral:lncRNA from 1 species